rnacentral:rRNA from 1 species
CCCUUAGAUGUUCUGGGCCGCACGCGCGCUACAAUGAUGAAUUCAACGAGUUUAUAACCUUGGUUGAAAAGCCUGGGUAAUCUUUUGAACUUUCGUCGUGAUGGGGCUAGACCCUUGCAAUUAUUGGUCUCCAACGAGGAAUUCCUAGUAAACGCAAGUCAUCAGCUUGCAUUGAUUACGUCCCUGCCCUUUGUACACACCGCCCGUCGCACCUACCGAUUGAAUGGUCCGGUGAAAUCUUCGGAUUGAGACUUUGAUUUGUUUACUCAAGACGCUGUUUCAAGAAGUUGAUUAAACCUUACCAUUUAGAGGAAGGUGAAGUCGUAACA